rnacentral:rRNA from 1 species
GACGAACGCUGGCGGCGUGCCUAAUACAUGCAAGUUGAGCGAUGAAGAUUGGUGCUUGCACCAAUUUGAAGAGCAGCGAACGGGGGAGUAACGCGUGGGGAAUCUUCCUUUGAGCGGGGGACAACAUUGGGAAACGAAUGCUAAUACCGCAUAACAACUUUAAACAUAAGUUUUAAGUUUGAAAGAUGCAAUUGCAUCACUCAAAGAUGAUCCCGCGUUGUAUUAGCUAGUUGGUGAGGUAAAGGCUCACCAAGGCGAUGAUACAUAGCCGACCUGAGAGGGUGAUCGGCCACAUUGGGACUGAGACACGGCCCAAACUCCUACGGGAGGCAGCAGUAGGGAAUCUUCGGCAAUGGACGAAAGUCUGACCGAGCAACGCCGCGUGAGUGAAGAAGGUUUUCGGAUCGUAAAACUCUGUUGGUAGAGAAGAACGUUGGUGAGAGUGGAAAGCUCAUCAAGUGACGGUAACUACCCAGAAAGGGACGGCUAACUACGUG